rnacentral:rRNA from 1 species
UACGUAGGGGGCAAGCGUUGUCCGGAAUCAUUGGGCGUAAAGCGCGCGUAGGCGGCCCGAUAAGUCCGCUGUAAAAGUCCAGGGCUCAACCCUGGAAAGCCGGUGGAUACUGUCGGGCUAGAGUCCGGAAGAGGCGAGUGGAAUUCCUGGUGUAGCGGUGGAAUGCGCAGAUAUCAGGAGGAACACCGAUGGCGAAGGCGAAUCUCUGGACAAUUCCUGACACUGAUGCUCGAAAGCUAGGGGAGCAAACGGG